AUCUGAGGACAGCAGCUCUCUACCAACAAAAACAAGUGCUAGAUCCACAGACUGCUGAAGUUUCUUUUCCGAACACAUUAAGUUUGACCAGCCUCCUUGAGCCAGAAUAGACCUGGCAAGAUCCCUUGAAGAAAUGGUCUGAUAAUUCACUGCUUCAUCCAUUCUGUUGUUUGAAAACUCAUGGUCGUGGUGAGAAGACCAGAAAAAAG
rnacentral:misc_RNA from 1 species